rnacentral:piRNA from 1 species
UGUGAUGGUCCUGUAUCCUCUGGGAA